UGUGUCCCCCUUCACGUGUCCGUGGUUCAGCGCCGCGCCGUUGGUUUGCCCUGGCCCCUCGGCUGCUGAUGGAGCGGCGGCUGGCGGCGACGGAGAGUAUUUUUUAUCUAUCGCCGGUGCCUGUCGCCCAGCUCGUGGCCCGUGAGCGACCCAACGCGUGGGCACCUGGAGGCUGGCACAAGUGGUACGUGUAGCAGGCAACACA
rnacentral:lncRNA from 1 species